UGGCCCUGCCGGAUCACUUUUUGAUCCAAUAUUUUAUUUUUGGGUUGAGGACAGAUAUUUAGACUGAUGUUUUGGUAGAUGAACUAACUAUACCGGAGCAAGCUAUUUCUCUAGCCCAUAAGUAUGAGAAAAAAUAUUUGGUAGCCAAGGGAAAUAAUACAUAAUUUUCUUACUCCAAACAACCUCCUCUUUUACCUACUCAUUCUACUUCUAACCCGCCAUUGCUGCCAACUCCUCCUUCCACAUUAGCCUUACAACCACCACCUUUUUCCUCCACUUCGACCUUUAAAAUUCCACCGAAACGCUUAACCCCAGCAGAAAUUUAACAACGGCAUGAAAAAGCAUGUGCUAUUAUUGCGAUGAGAAAUACUCAGCCUCUCACAAGUGCAAAAAAUUUCCUCAAUUGUUACUUAUAGAGGAUGACUCCAAUGAUUGAGUUCCUGAAUCCUUUAUCCCUGGCGAUAUGCUGGUAGAUGAAUUGCAGUCUCUUGAGGUAAAAUCUCAUUCUACAAUUUCAUAUUAUGAUCUAGCAGGUGGUAAUUCUCUGACUAUAUUGUAUUUUACUAGACAUGUUAAUAGAUCUUCAGUACAGGUUCUCUUGGACAGAGGGAGCACCAAUGAUUUUAUUCGGCCUCGAGUUGCUAAGUUUUUGAACCUAAUAGUUGAUCGCACUUCUAAUUUUCCAGUUGUGGUGGGUAGUGGUCAAUGACUCAAAUGUGAAGGUGUGACUCGAGCGGUUAACCUCACCAUUCAAGGUUGCACCCUUACUUUAGAUCUGUAUGUGCUCUCUAUGCAUGGUUCAGAUAUUGUUUUGGGAGUUUCAUGGUUGGCUACUCUAGGACUGGUGGUUACUGAUUAUAGUCAACGCACAUUUGAAUUCUCUUUACAUAAUACUAGACAUAGUUGGGUGGGGAACCCUCCUAUUGAUGUUCAACUUCAAGGAUUAUGACGUUUAACUUCAGUGGAUGCGAUUGCUUUAUUCUAUCGGCUUGAGGUAAUUCAUGACUCAAGUCCUUCUUGAAAUACUUACCCCUCUGAUCUUACUGCAGUUAUGUUCGAGUAUCAGGAUGUGUUUUGCAAGACCAUGAUCUUCCCCCAUCGCGUGACCAAGACCAUGCUAUACAUCUACAUCCUAACUUUGAGCCUGUGAAUGUCAAACCUUAUCGUUAUCGCUAUUUUCAAAAACAAAUCAUGGAAGAUUUGGUGGCUUAGAUGUUGAAAGAAGGUAUCAUCAGGCAAAGCACCAGUCCCUUUUCUUUCCCAGUGCUAUUGGUUCGGAAGAAAAAUUAUACAUGCAGUUUCUAUGUUGAUUAUCGGGACUUUAAUUCCAUCACAAUGAGUGAUCUCUUUCCCAUUCCUACCAUUUAUGAAUUAUUUGAUGAACUGAAUGGUGUCACAUAUUUUUCGAAACUGGAUUUACUAUCUGGCUAUCAUCAUAUUCGAAUUCGCCCUGACGAUAUUCCGAAAACAAUAUUCUGAACACAUGAAGGGCAUUACGAAUUUUUUGUCAUGCCAUUUGGGUUGUCUAAUGCUCCCUCUACCUUUCAGGUAACUAUGAACUUGGUAUUUAAACCGUAUCUCAGGAAAUUGCUCAUAGUUCUUUUUUGUGAUAUCUUGGUUUAUAGUGGUACAUGGGAAAACCAUCUGGAACACCUAGCAGUUGUUCUUCGUCUACUGCGGGAGAAUAAGUUAGUCGCCAAACAAUCCAAAUGUCUACUUGGACUUUAGAGGAUUGAUUACUUGGGCCAUGUCAUAUCUUCUCAAGGAUUGGCUGUAGACCUGGCCAAAAUUGAGGUGAUUAAGAAUUGACCAGUUCCAAGGUCUAUCAAAGAAGUGCGUAGUUUCUUGGGUCUCGUUGGGUAUCACCAAUGUUUCAUUCAUCAAUAUGCACAGUGGAUGGUCCAUUAACGGAUUUAUUUAAAAAGGAUGCCUUUGGUUGGACUGAACGACAACAACAUGCAUUUGAGGCGGCCUUGAAAAGUGCCCUUGAAUCUGCUCCAGUCUUAUCUUUGCCCGAUUUCUCUAAAGAAUUUUAUGUGGAAACAUAUUCUUUACGUAUUGGGGUUGGUGCAGUAUUAUCACAACAAGGCUACUCAAUUGCCUAUUUAGUCAAAAGUUAUGUCAUCGUAUACAGAAAGCCUCAUCUUACUAGAAUAAUAUGUUAGCAAUCACACAGGUUGUUAGUAAAUGGCAUCAGUAUUUGUUGGGUCGCCAUUUUGUCAUUCACACAGAUCAACAUCCCCUUAAGAAUUUAACAAAACAUGUUAUUCAGACCCCUGAGCAACAAAAAUGGUUGACUAAAUUGGUUGGUUAUGAUUUUACCAUUUUGUACGAGCCUGGAAAGACCAAUUUAGUAGCUGAUGCUUUAUCUCGGACCCCUGCAGCUUCCUUUCAUGCCAUUUCUAGCUGCACCUUUGAUUUAAUAGCUAAUUUGCGGCAAGAAAAUGUGAAUCAUAAUGAGUUGUUGGCUUGGAAAUAGAGUAUUCAUGAGGAAGCGGAGACUCCUUCCCCUUUCCUCUUUAAAGAUAGUCUUCCUUUGUAUAACGGUAGAUUGGUUAUUCCAUCCGAUUCCCCUCUUCACGUUGAAUUGCUCAAGUAGUUUCAUUCUUCGCUGGUUGGUGGUCACGCUGGGAUAUCCGAAACUUUCCAAAGAGUAGUUUUUUUUAUUGGAAGGGUUUAAGACAAGAUGUCAAAACCUUUGUUGCUUUUUGCCAGACCUGCCAGGAGAUGAAAGACAUUCUUAAACAUCCAACAUGUCUUCUCCAACCAUUACCUGUUCUAGAUUUGGUUUUCGAGGAGGUCAUAAUGGAUUUUAUCACGUCUCUUCCCAGCUCGAAGGGUAAAUCUACUAUUCUUACCAUUGUGGAUCGUCUUUCUAAAUAUUGUCAUUGUAUUGCCCUGUCGGCCACUUUCACUGCCUAUAUUGUAGCUGCGACCUUUGUUUCAGAAAUCAUUCGACUUCAUGGCCACCCUAAAAUUAUUCUCACUGACUGAGACCCAAGGUUCAUAAAUAUAUUUUGGAAGGAAAUCCACAAAAUACAAGGUACUACUCUCUCCAUGAGCACGGCCUAUCACCCACAAACUGAUGGCCAAUCAGAAGCAUUGAUCGUUGCUUUGUGGCUGAUACCCCACAUGAGUGGGCACCAUUAUUACCUUGGAUCGAAUUUUGGUACAAUACUUCCUAUCAGACCGUUGUUUCUAUGACCCAUUUCCAAGCUUUGUAUGGCAGAGAACCGCCCAUCAUAGCUCGGUAUGUGCUUGGCACUUCUUCCAAAGAAUUGGUAGAAUGUUACAUGAUUCAAAGGGAAGAAGUUAUGGAUUUGUUGAAGCAUAACUUAAUCAAAGGCCCAACAACGUAUGAAGGAAUAUGUAGAUAAGAAGUAUCAAAAUGUUGAAUUUGCAAUUGGAGAUUGGGUAUAUGUUAAGCUAAAAUCUUCCAUGCUGCAGUCUCUUCGCUUACAGCGAUAUCAUAAGUUGGGAACGCAUUACUUUGGUUUAUUUAAAGUUAUCAGAUGAAUUGGGGAUGUUGCUUACAAGCUUGAAUUACCAAAGGAUGCUCAUAUUCACCCUGUGUUUCAUGUCUCUAAGCUGCGUUGCUGUGUUGGAAAUUCAGAUAUGCAUGACUAUAACGACCCGAUCGGUCGUUUUGAGCACUUGAAUUUCGUUCAGCCAUUUGAAGUCUUGAGUAGCUUCAUAUGAUGUAUUAUGACUUGUGUGAAUCGUCGGUUUUGGUUUCAGGUUAAUCGGAAUUGACUCGGGAGAAAGAUUCUCAACUAGGACGCUCUAAGUUGGAAUAGUUGACCAAGUUUGACAUUUGAGUAUUUGACCUCGGAUCGGAGUUUUGAUGGUUCCGUUAGGUCUGGAUGAUAAUUUUGGACUUGGGCGUAUGCCCGGAUUUGCAUUUGGAUGUUCCUAGAAGGUUUCGGCACUAUUUGGCGAAAGUUGGCAAUUUGAAGGUUUGGAAUAUUUAUAUGUUUGACCGAGAGUUGACUUUGAUGAUAUAAUGUUUGGAUUUUUGUUUCGGGAAUUGGAAUAGCUUCGUUAUGUCAUUUGGGACUUGUGUGCAAAAUUGGAGUUCAUUUCGAGUUGAUUUGAUAAGGUUCGACACGAGUUUUGAAAGUUGAAAGAUUCAAAGUUCAUUAAGUUCGAUUUGAGGCACGAUUCGUGAUUUUGAUGUUAAUAUGUGUGAUUUGAGACCUUGAGUAGGUCCGUAAUAUAUUUUGAGACUUAUUGAGGGACUCGGGUGAGUUUCGGGGUGGUUUCAGACCAUUUCUAGGCCAUUUUUAAGUGUUGGUUUUUAGCUACAGCAGUGUGCAUCGCGAUCGUGGACUUUGGGUCGCGUUCGCGAAGAGAAAAAUGGGAGAAAGGUGCCUGUGAAUCGCGUUCGCAGAGUGAUCUUCGCGUUUGGGAAGAAGAAAUUAUGUUGUCACUGAUCCAACUUUAAAAGCUUAUAUCGUGCAAUAUAUAAGGAAUUUGGAGAUGAUCCAAAAACAAAAGUUGUAGCCCUUGGUUCUAGUUUUAAGAAAAAUUGAACCAUUUGUCAUUUGGAGUUUUGUAAAAAAUGUUAUGGCUAUUAUACUAGAGGCUAUCUGGAAAAGUUAGGCAAGCUUGUUGGAGUUUGUUCAUCGCGAUCGUGGGGGAAUGGUCGCGAUCGUGAAUAGUAAAAGUUGAGCUGGAAUUUUUUUUGAAUCGCGAUAGCGAUGUUGGAGACCGCGAUCACGAAGAGAGACUCCUGGAAGUGCAUUAAAACAUCAAAUUUUGGUAUUUUGAGUUCAUUUUAUCAUAUUUUGAGCUAUAAAGCUCGGAUUGAGGUGAUUUUCACCACAUGAAAUGGGGUAAGUAUUAUCUACUCGGUAUUGAUUUUAUUCCGUGAUUCCAUCUUCGUUUUUGGCACUUGGUUGAUGAUUUCAAAAGAGAAAUUGGGGAGUUUUGUCUAAAAUUUUAUAAACUGAAUUUUUGAGUUUUGAACAUCGAUUCGGAGUCAGAUUUGAAUAAAAUUUGUAUGAUUGGACUCGUAAUUGAAUGGGUUAUCGGAUUUUAUGAGUUUUGUCGGGUUCAGAGGUACGGGCCCAAGUUUGAUGUUUUGGUUGACUUUGGGCUUUUGAUUAUAGAUUCGACCUUUAUCAAUUGGGUUUGCUUCCAUAGGCAUUAUUUGAUGUAUUUGAGUUGCUUUUGGCUAGUUUCGAGCCGUUCGGAGGUUGAUGCACGCGAGAUGGCAUUUCUAAAGUAUUGUUCGGCUUGCUCGGUAUUGGAUUUGGCUUGUUCGAGGCAAGUAACAUAUUUGAACUUGGAUUUGAGGGUAUUUAACCCUAGGAACUGUGUUAUAAGAGAUGUAUUAAAGUGACGCACAUGGUAGGUGACGAGCGUGUGGGCGUGCACCGAGCAAAUCAUGAUUUUAGUCAACUAUUAGACUAUGACCGGACUUGUUUUGCUAUUAUAUCCUGUUACCUCCAUGUUCUCUCUUCUUGUUUGAUUAUAUGUUCUGUGAAUCAUGUUAGAAAUCAUGUUUACGCUAUAUGCUUGCUCUAUUGAGACCCACCGAGGUUAUUUAUGCUAUUGAGUUAUUUGCUUACAUUGUAAUUAGACACUCAGUCAUAUUCAUUCAUUUGCAUAUCAUAUCUCAGUCUCUAUUAUCAAUUUUUCAUUGUUUGGGCUGAGUGGCAUGAGAUUUGUGAGCCCGAGAGACUGGAGAGAUUGAUGACUGUGACGAUGAGGGCCUGAUUAUGAGUGAUGAUUAUGGGAUCGGGUUGCACGCGACAACAGAUUUAUUGAUUCAUGGUGGGAUCAGGCUACACGUGGAAGCAGGCUUUAUUGAUUCAUGAUGGGAUCGGGGUGCACGCCGCAUCAUGUCAUGGCGCUUGGGCAGGAUCUGCCACUCCGGAGUCUGACAUACCAGCAAUGAGCGUAGGUACGGAUGAGUGCGAGUGCCGAGUGAUUGAGAGUGCUGAGUGAUUGGGAGGUGCUGAGUGAUUGAGAGUAUUGAGUGAUUGGAAGGUGCUGAGUGAUUGAGCGUGCUAAGUGAGGUCGAAUACUCCGAGAGCAUGAGUACAUGAGUUUAUCACUGUGGUGCAUUACAUUUGACAUGCAUACUUGGCAUGUAGGCAUAGAGAUGCAUUUCCUCAUGCUAUACAAUAUUGUGACAUUUAUGACUUCUCUCAUACAUAUUGACAUGUAGGCAUAGAGAUAUACUUUUCUCAUGCUAUCUCAUAAUGGAGCAUCUUAUCUGUUGCUAAAGGUUUUUGGGAAAAAUCACUGUUUUUCUGACAUACUCACAUUUUGGUGACUUCGGUGAAAGAUUUGGGUUUUACUGUUACUCUUGAAAAACAUUCCUAUUUUUCGUAACUAUGAACGAUCUAAGCAUUAUAUCUUUGACUAUUACUUGUACUAUUUCAUUAUAUUGUUAUGAGUUGUUCUUGGCUGUUGGUGUUGGACUCUUACCGUUGUCCAAGCUCGUCACUGCUUACAACCUAAAGUUAGGUUUGUUACUUAUUGAGUAUAUGGGGUCGAUUGUACUCAUACUACACUUCUUCACCUUACGUGCAGAUUUUGGAGCUGAUGUUGUUGUGCAUGGGGGAGUUGGCAUUGAAGAUGUACCCGCACUCCAGUUGUAGCUGCCUCUUGUUCAUGGUAGCUUUAGAUUUAUAAA
rnacentral:lncRNA from 1 species